rnacentral:misc_RNA from 1 species
GGAUGAAGAACGCAGCGAAAUGCGAUAAGUAGUGUGAAUUGCAGAAUUCAGUGAAUCAUCGAAUCUUUGAACGCACAUUGCGCCCCUUGGUAUUCCAUGGGGCAUGCCUGUUCGAGCGUCAUUUGUACCCUCAAGCUAAGCUUGGUGUUGGGUGUUUGUCCACUCCCUCGUGUUUGGACUCGCCUUAAAACAAUUGGCAGCCAGUGUUUUGGUAUUGAAGCGCAGCACAAUUUGCGAUUCAAGCCUAGAAUACUAGCAUCCAUCAAGUCAUUUUUAACGCUUGACCUCGGAUCAGGUAGGGAUACCCGCUGAACUUAAGCAUAUCAAUAAGCGGAGGA